UAGAUCAUUGAAAGAGGUAGGUCCGCG
rnacentral:piRNA from 1 species